rnacentral:lncRNA from 10 species
CUGAAAUUUAUUUUCCUAAAGAGAAGAGAGCUUGGAUAAGCCAUGUAAAAUCUCUGGCCUUUGUUUUUCUUAGCUAUAUAAUCAAGCAGUUGACUUGUGAAAAAAUAUUCAAAUAUGGACCACAUAGGGUUGUAUUUGCCAAACGCUUUUUUUUUUUUUUUUUUUUACAUCAGGCUAAUCAGUCAGUCUACAUCGCUAUCUUUAACACAGAGUAGCUAAAUUAUCAAUGUGCCUCAAAAAGCAGUGCCAAGGAGGCAGCAGUGGUGAAAUAGAGCCCCCCGCAUGUGGCAGAGUUGGGUCAGACCACCUCCCAGGGUCUCUGCACAGUCAUAGUUCCACAUACACUGAAAUGUUCUAAACACCCACCUAGCCUCUCACCUUUUACUUGCACUGGAAACGGAUGAGCUAUAUUUUGGUCAGCUCUGGAAAAAUUAAAACAAGUAACAUUGUUGAGUGCUGGGAAGGAUUUAGGGAAACAGAAGCCCCCAGGCAAACUGGCAGGGAUGUAUUAGUCAUAGCCACUCUGGACAGCAAUUUGGCAAUAUUUAGGACAGUUGAAAAUGCGCAUGAUCAAUGAUCAGGAAACACGAGGGAAACACUUGGAAAAUGCACGAGAUUAUUUACCGUGAUGUCCUCUGGAAGAGCCAAAAUCAUAAAUGAACAUUUCAGAAGGGACUAUCCAGAAAACAUGCGGAUUGUGCACACCAUGUCUCACUGCAUGAUGGUGAAAAAGACCAAACUAGGCCGUGGGGGGUGGCUCACGCCUGUAAUCCCAGUACUUUGGAAGGCUGAGGCGGGC